UACGUAGGGUGCAAGCGUUGUCCGGAAUUAUUGGGCGUAAGGAGCUCGUAGGCGGUUUGUUGCGUCGGCUGUGAAAUCCCGAGGCUCAACCUCGGGUCUGCAGUCGAUACGAGCAAACUAGAGUGUUGCAGGGGAGACUGGAAUUCCUGGUGUAGCGGUGAAAUGCGCAGAUAUCAGGAGGAACACCGGUGGCGAAGGCGGGUCUCUGGGCCGAUACUGACGCUGAGGAGCGAAAGCGUGGGGAGCGAACAGG
rnacentral:rRNA from 1 species